rnacentral:rRNA from 1 species
GAUGAACGCUAGCGGGAGGCCUAACACAUGCAAGCCGAGCGGUAUUGUUUCUUCGGAAAUGAGAGAGCGGCGUACGGGUGCGGAACACGUGUGCAACCUGCCUUUAUCUGGGGGAUAGCCUUUCGAAAGGAAGAUUAAUACUCCAUAACAUAUUGAUUGGCAUCAAUUAAUAUUGAAAGCUCCGGCGGAUAGAGAUGGGCACGCGCAAGAUUAGCUAGUUGGUGAGGUAACGGCUCACCAAGGCGAUGAUCUUUAGGGGGCCUGAGAGGGUGAUCCCCCACACUGGUACUGAGACACGGACCAGACUCCUACGGGAGGCAGCAGUGAGGAAUAUUGGUCAAUGGGUGCAAGCCUGAACCAGCCAUCCCGCGUGAAGGACGACUGCCCUAUGGGUUGUAAACUUCUUUUGUAUAGGGAUAAACCUACCCUCGUGAGGGUAGCUGAAGGUACUAUACGAAUAAGCACCGGCUAACUCCGUGCCAGCAGCCGCCGCAGUAA